AUAUCGCAUAGUUCUCUGAUUGUUUCGUGGAUAUAUUGAAUAAUUCGGACCCUCGCCCCAGCUGGAAGCGCUGCCUCGGGUGAAAGCGACUAUCAGGAUGAUGAACCGGUGCCGUGCAAACCGCACCGAUGUGUCCUUGGCGUAGGCAAAUGUCGCAAGUUUUGUAACGAUGGUGGCAGCGCUCUGGUCGGUGUCCUUUGUGGCCACACACCGUACAUUCCGCCGGUAGGUCUCCAGCGGCCAUUCUGCACACGCGGCAGUUACACUUUUCUCGCGACAUACACGAUCCCAUGGUCAGAUAAACACUAAUCCCGCAGCAUACAAACGGACGACAAAUUGUAAACACCAACGGUGCAAUAGUGUGGGUGAAGCGCCCGAGUUCCUCGCUUUGUUCGGUGAAGUGUUCCGAAGAAAUAUCGAAACGCAAAUAGCAAAUUAACGCAAAAGUCCUCGGUUCCAUGUUGCCUGCUUGCUGAAACAUUGUUUUCUUUUGUGACAAAGUAAAUUAUCCGUAUCGAGCAUUGCUGUUUCCUGCGAGCGUGUUGGUGAGCUCGAAUAAGGAAAAUCCUGGAUCAAGAAGAAUUUCAACGGUUGUCAACAGUUCAUAGAAAGAGUUAGACCCGGCGACACCUCUUAAACAUGGGAUGCUGUUGUUCAAGAAAGCCACGAUCUAACGUACGGCCAACGUACUUGCCCAGGCCAGAUAGCCUCGCGGGCGAAAAUUUUUGGCGUCCUCCGAGCUUCCAACUCGCUGGAAAUGGAAAUGCCGCAACGGCGAAUGUGAGGGAACAGAUUUCGUGCAACGGUUGUGGCUCUCAGCACAGACCCAACUACGAGUGCAAAUACUUAAAGCGAUUCUGCAAGGGAUGCCGCGAGAUAGGACACCGGUAUCGGGUGUGUCCGAUGGGACCGUCUUAUCCAAACCGUGGCCAACGGUCGAACAGGCCAAACAUGGAGCGAACAUCGAACAAACCGCAGUCCCGUCCGAGGCAACAGGGUUAUCCAAACCGUGGCCAAAGAUCCAACAGGCGCCAACACCGGCGUUACCCAUAAGCAUCGGAUAUGACCUAACGCUACGUACCUCCAGGCGUGCGGUGUGAAACCGGGACACUGGACACAGUUGUCACAGGCACCGUCGAACACCUCACUGAUGAUGACGCCCUAGAAAAGAAAGCAGAACACAGAAGUACGUUUAAAUAGUUAUCGGACAAUUAA